rnacentral:lncRNA from 1 species
UCUGAAGAAGAAGCUGCUUGUCCUCCCCAAAAUGAUGCAGGAGAAUUGGAAAAACUAUCAUCAAAUUAGAGACCAUCAAAUAAGGAUCAGAGGAGAAAAGACAGAACAGUAUAGUGGGUGAUUCCCUGCUUAAAGGGCAAGAGCUAUGGACAAAAUCAGUAGUUGAAACAAUGAAAUAGAAUCCAAAAAAAUAUAGAGACAAAGAAUGUUUCUAUGCCACAUAGAGAAGAAUAUCAAUAUGUUUUCACCAAUCAUUCAAUCAACCAGAAUUGAGUGAAUGUGUCUAGAGGGACAGAUAUCAUCAGAACUCUGGAGACCCCAUCUGCCAGUGCAAGCAUGCUGAUCUACGUCUGGCCACUGGACACAGAUGACUCUGAAGGGAAAAGUGAGGCAGAUGACCUUGCACAGCCCUCCCUUACUUAAAUCCAAUUCACUUGUAUGUCCUCGUAUCACCUUCCUGAUGUCAUGGUGUUCUUCAAAAACAAAGGACAAACAACAACAACAACGACAAUCUCCAG